rnacentral:lncRNA from 1 species
AUGGGAGAGAGGCAGGCGCUCGCGCAGCAGCUGGAGCACAAGCACAGGGAUGUGAGGUCUGCGUUUUUGUGGCAAUUGAUGAUGGGCUGUAUGACAUUGGAAUGAAUCAAAGCGGCAAGUCGGUCUCUCAUUGGCUUCUUUCCUUAGGAGUUUUCAACUGGCUCCACUUUUAGAUGCCGAAUUGCUCGCGCCGCAUCUGUGAGGAACAAUGAUGUUGAAUAUUUGCAGCAACAGCAGUGGCA